rnacentral:piRNA from 3 species
GUUAGGAUUCGGCGCUCUCACCGCCGCGG